CUCCUCGAUUGUAGCGGCGGACGGGUGAGUAACACGUGGGCAACCUGCCCUACAGAUUGGGAUAACUCAGGGAAACCUGGGCUAAUACCGAAUAAUCCUUCGAAUCACAUGUUUUGAAGUUGAAAGGCGCUUCGGCGUCACUGUAGGAUGGGCCCGCGGUGCAUUAGCUAGUUGGUGGGGUAACGGCCUACCAAGGCAACGAUGCAUAGCCGACCUGAGAGGGUGAUCGGCCACAUUGGGACUGAGACACGGCCCAAACUCCUACGGGAGGCAGCAGUAGGGAAUCUUCCACAAUGGACGAAAGUCUGAUGGAGCAACGCCGCGUGAGUGAUGAAGGUUUUCGGAUCGUAAAACUCUGUUGUAAGGGAAGAACAAGUACGUUAGGAAAUGAACGUACCUUGACGGUACCUUAUUAGAAAGCCACGGCUAACUACGUGCCAGCAGCCGCGGUAAUACGUAGGUGGCAAGCGUUGUCCGGAUUUAUUGGGCGUAAAGCGCGCGCAGGUGGUUUCUUAAGUCUGAUGUGAAAGCCCACGGCUCAACCGUGGAGGGUCAUUGGAAACUGGGGAACUUGAGUGCAGAAGAGGAUAGUGGAAUUCCAAGUGUAGCGGUGAAAUGCGUAGAGAUUUGGAGGAACACCAGUGGCGAAGGCGACUGUCUGGUCUGUAACUGACACUGAGGCGCGAAAGCGUGGGGAGCAAACAGGAUUAGAUACCCUGGUAGUCCACGCCGUAAACGAUGAGUGCUAAGUGUUAGGGGGUUUCCG
rnacentral:rRNA from 1 species